rnacentral:rRNA from 1 species
UGAAUGACUCUUGGCAAUGGAUAUCUUGGCUCUCGUGUCGAUGAAGAACGAAGCAAAAACGCGACAUUUGGUGUGAAUUGCAGAAUCUUGUGAACCAUCGAGUCUUUGAAUGCAAGUUGUGCCCGAGACCAUUAGGUCGAUGGCACGUAUGUUUGGGUGUCAGG